AGGUCUUUUUUAUAGCUCUUGCAUUCCUCUGUCAAAGGAGAUUUUUGUCUCAUUUUCUGCAGGGAGUAAGAGUGAUAAUUUCAUCCAUAUUCUUGGAUUCUAACAAAAAUCAAGAGCCUUUGGAUAACUGCCUGGUCUAAGUAUCCAUGCUUCCACUGGUUUUAUAACAGAGGAAGUUUAAAUUAUUUCCUUAAAAUUGUGUUAGAAAUAUUCCACCACCACUACUCUCCGAUUUUUUUCUCCAGAAACUUAUACAGAUAAAGAUUUCAGAAUGUUUUCUGGGAGCCCCAGGUCUGCUUCACAAAAAACAGACUCCAAGUUCACCUGAUGUAACAUCAACAUUGCUUCUGAGAGCCACUUAAGAAACAAAAAUGCUCUGGUGGUAUUGCUUAGACAGUUUGAAUUGCAUGUCUUCCAUCUAAAUUUCUCCAGCGUCUAAGACACUCUUUUGUUUAUUUGUUUAGUGGUCCCCAAAGCUGUGCCUCAUUUUGAAAAUCAUCUAUGCUGAAGACAACCCAUGUAUCCAAUUCCUACCAACUCCAUCUUGUGAUGGUGUCAAUGGCUACCUGUCCCCAGUUCAGGAAGAGUCUUUUGACGGGACAUCCCUGGCAACCCACCAUGUCUGCACGAAGCCCACACUGGGUGGCCAUGAUGGGCCCAACAAGGCUUUCGUAACAACAGCACCAAGUGAGUCAGUCCAUCAUCACUUCUUGAUUGCAGUGUCUUUGGUUUUGCUUUCUAAUUGAAUAGACUGACUUGUCACCUCUGCAAUCUCACUAUUGUCCUUUAUUGUAAAAUAAUUCUUCAUUAAUAGGCAACAAUGUGAUAUCAUUGCCAACAUCAUCAUAGCCUGCCUGAGAAAACUUACUCUAUCUCCUGGAGGUCCCAUUGGUCCUGGUGGGCCAGGUAAUCCUGGGGUUCCCUACACAAAAGAAAGCAAACAAGUGACAUGCUAUAAUAUACUUCCUAUAUGGGAAAACAUACUUUUUGUUCUUCAAAAUGCUUGAAAAAAAAUUCAGGGGGCUCUGAAAAGAAGCAGAAAACCAGAACCAAGCCUAGUGCCAGCCAUAUAGUGGAUGAUCAUCAGGAUGCCCACACUUGAAUUGAACAGCACAAAUUUGACAACUAAGACCAGGGUAUGAAAUGGAAAUAAUGCGAUGCACAUAGCCUGGCUUCUGCUUUGCUGCCUCCUCUGGGUUCACCUUUUGAGGCACUACAAGGGCAACUUUUCAAACAGCACCUGACAAGUAAAAAAAGAGGUAGCUUCAAGAACAACUCACGGUCCGGCCGGGAAGUCCUGGCUCUCCAGCAUCACCUUUCAUCCCUUGGCGACCCUACAGCAGCAAUGGGAAAACAGUCCUCAGGCAUUUUACAGAGAUGAAGUGAAAAGGGGAGACAUAUGUCACUUCUGAAAUCUCCAUCACUUCAUAAAUACAAUGUAAACACAUUUGGAAGGUAGACAAAUCAUUUUUCGGAUUGAUGCUCACUUUUUAAGCUAUAAAUGCUGUGUUCUGAUUUCCAUUUGUAAUAUUAAAGGAUAAUUUUAUAUAAUUAUGGGACGAUAUACCUACUUUAAAAGAACAUAGUUUAACAUAAGGUAUUUUCAUAGGAAGAAAAUUUGAAGGGAGAAAAACUAUUUUUUAUUUAAUAUAUUUAAUUAGUUGCUAAUUUUAAUAGAUAUUCAAUGAAGUGUUAUAAUUUUGGUCUUUAUAACUACAUGCUAGAAAACACUUGUCAUAAAAAAGUAGAAUUAAUUAAAAAAGUAGAAUUAAUUAAAACUGAUAAAUUUAAUUUAAUAGUAGUAAGAAAGGUAAAAGCCCCAAAAGUCCCUUUUGGACACAAGAAGCUAAAAGUAGAUUCAGGCAACCCUUUUGAGUGAGAAAGCCCUAUCCCUCCACAUGUUUCAUUUCCAGCUUUAUCUGGUAUCAAUUAUUUUUCCUCUAAGUGCCAAGAAAAUGUAUC